rnacentral:rRNA from 1 species
UAAUACAGAGGGUGCAAGCGUUAAUCGGAAUUACUGGGCGUAAAGGGCGCGUAGGUGGCCGGGUAAGUUGGAUGUGAAAUUCCUGGGCUCAACCUGGGGACUGCAUUCAAAACUGCUCGGCUAGAGUAGGAUAGAGGGAAGUGGAAUUUCCGGUGUAGCGGUGAAAUGCGUAGAUAUCGGAAGGAACACCAGUGGCGAAGGCGGCUUCCUGGAUCCAUACUGACACUGAGGCGCGAAAGCGUGGGGAGCAAACAGG